rnacentral:rRNA from 1 species
CCUACGGGCUGCACCAGUAGGGAAUCUUCGGCAAUGGACGAAAGUCUGACCGAGCAACGCCGCGAGAGUGAAGAAGGUUUUCGGAUCGUAAAACUCUGUUGUUAGAGAAGAACAAGUAGGAGAGUAACUGCUCUUACCUUGACGGUAUCUAACCAGAAAGCCACGGCUAACUACGUGCCAGCAGCCGCGGUAAUACGUAGGUGGCAAGCGUUGUCCGGAUUUAUUGGGCGUAAAGCGAGCGCAGGCGGUCUUUUAAGUCUGAUGUGAAAGCCCUCGGCUCAACCGAGGAAGGUCAUUGGAAACUGGAGGACUUGAGUGCAGAAGAGGAGAGUGGAAUUCCAUAUGUAGCGGUGAAAUGCGUAGAUAUAUGGAGGAACACCAGUGGCGAAGGCGACUCUCUGGUCUGUAACUGACGCUGAUGUGCGAAAGCGUGGGGAUCAAACAGGAUUAGAUACCCGUGUAGUC